AAGUAAGCUACUAAGGGCGUGCGGUGGAUGCCUAGGCACUGAGAGGCGAUGAAGGACGUGGGUGGCUGCGAUAAGCUCUGGGGAGUUGCCAACCGAACAUUGAUCCAGAGAUUUCCGAAUGGGGAAACCCAGCUGACGUAACGGUCAGUUACUACAUCCUGAAUACAUAGGGGUGUAAGAGCGAACCAGGGGAAGUGAAACAUCUCAGUACCCUGAGGAAAAGAAAACAAUGAGUGAUUCCCGUAGUAGUGGCGAGCGAACCGGGAAAAAUAAGCCUAAACCAGUGUCACGAAAGUGACAUUGGGGUUGCGGGUCCACGGUAGGACCAUGGGUUGUUAGCGGAACUGCCUGGAAAGGCAGACCAAAGAGCGUGAUAGUCGCGUACGCGAAAACGACCUGUGGCCGAGUGGGGUACCCAAGUAAGACGGAACACGAGCAAUUCUGUCUGAAUCUGCCAGGACCAUCUGGUAAGGCUAAAUACUACUCAGUGACCGAUAGUGAACAAGUACCGCGAGGGAAAGGUGAAAAGAACCCCUGUGAGGGGAGUCAAAAGAACCUGAAACCGCAUGUCUACAAGCAGUUCGAGCACCACGCCGCAAGGCAAGUGCGAGAGCGUACCUUUUGCAUCAUGAUUCGGCGACUUAAUGUACGUAGCGAGGCUAAGCCGAUAGGUGGAGCCGGAGCGAAAGCGAGUCCGAAAUGGGCGACGAGUUGCGUGUAUUAUAACCCGAAGCGGGAUGAUCUACGCAUGGCCAGGUUGAAGUGCGGGUAACACCGCAUGGAGGACCGAACGCAUGGAAGUUGAAAAUUUCUGCGAUGAGCUGUGCGUAGGGGUGAAAGGCCAAUCAAAUUCCGUGAUAGCUGGUUCUCCCCGAAAGAUAUUUAGGUAUCGGCUCGGGUAAUUCACUGUUGGAGGUAGAGCACUGGAACGGCUAGGGGUCUCACCAGAUUACCAAACCGUACCAAACUCCGAAUGCCAACAAGUGUUAUCCCGGGACGCAGUCGGUGGGUGAUAACGUCCAUCGGCAAGAGGGGAAUAACCCAGACCGUCGGCUAAGGUCCCCAAGUUUUGGCUAAGUGAACACUAGAAAGGAUGUGGAGGGUCAUUGACAACCAGGAAGUUGGCUUAGAAGCAGCCAUCUUUUAAAGAAAGCGUAAUAGCUCACUGGUCGAGACAAUCCGCGCCGAAAAUGUAACGGGGCUAAGCCAAGCACCGAAGCCACGGGUCAUGUCUAUUUUGAUAGGCAUGGCGGUAGGGGAGCGUUGAUGUUGCAGCGAAGCACGAUGGUAAUGGCGUGUGGAGCGACAUCAAGUGCUGAUGCCGAAAUGAGUAGCGAUAAGGGAUGUGAGAAUCAUCCCCCCCGUAAGCGUAAGGUUUCCUGGGUCAAGUCAAUCUUCCCAGGGUUAGCCGGGUCCUAAGUCGAGCCCGAAAGGGGUAGAUGAUGGCAAGCAGGUUAAUAUUCCUGCGCUGGCUGUUAGACGUUGAACUAAGGGGUGACGGAGAAAGCUAACUCAGCUGACCGGUGGUUGUGUCAGUCUAAGGUCGUAGGAGUGCCUCGUACGAAUAAAGGCGGGGCAGUUAUCUCCGAGAGCCGAAUGCGAGCGCGUUAGCGCGAAGUGAGUGAUGCUCUGCUUCCAAGAAAAACCUCGUAGGGAGUCUAGCGGUCAUCCGUACCGUAAACCGACACAGGUGCGCGAGGCGAGUAGCCUCAGGGGCCCGAGAGAACUCUCCUCCAAGGAACUAGGCAAAUUGACACCGUAACUUCGGAAGAAGGUGUGCCCUCGGUAGGUGUAGUCGUACAGACGAAGCCGAAGAGGGUUGCAGAGAAUAGGGGGUAGCGACUGUUUACCAAAAACACAGGACUCUGCGAAGGCGAGAAGCCGACGUAUAGGGUCUGACUCCUGCCCGGUGCUGGAAGGUUAAGGGGAUCCGUCAGCGCAAGCGAAGCGGUGAUCCGAAGCCCCAGUAAACGGCGGCCGUAACUAUAACGGUCCUAAGGUAGCGAAAUUCCUUGUCGGGUAAGUUCCGACCUGCACGAAAGGAGUAACGACUUCCCCACUGUCUCGGAGAGGGACUCGGCGAAAUUGAAAUAGCUGUGCCGAUGCAGUUUACCCGCAGAAAGACGGAAAGACCCCGUGAACCUUUACUACAACUUGACAGUGACACUAGGGAUUGGCUGUGUAGGAUAGGUGGGAGCCUUUGAAGCCGGGCCGCUAGGUUCGGUGGAGGCAACGGUGAAAUACCACCCUGCUGAUUUCUGGUGUCUAACCGUGGCCCGUCAUCCGGGUCCGGGACACUGUCUGGUGGGUAGUUUGACUGGGGCGGUCGCCUCCCAAAGAGUAACGGAGGCGCGCGAUGGUACCCUCAGCCUGAUUGGAAACCAGGCGUCGAGUGCAAUGGCAUAAGGGUGCUUGACUGCAAGAGCGACGGUUCGAGCAGGUGCGAAAGCAGGUCAUAGUGAUCCGGUGGUUCUGAAUGGAAGGGCCAUCGCUCAACGGAUAAAAGGUACUCCGGGGAUAACAGGCUUAUCUCCUCCAAGAGUU
rnacentral:rRNA from 1 species